GAAGUGAGGCAGCAGCCAAGCAGCACCAAGUUGCUGUGUAAGCAGAAAGAAAUGAGGCACAGACUGACCUAACGAGUACCAAUGAACUGACCUGGAGGACUGGAUUCACAUCCUGGAUUGCAAAAAUUAACUGGAUUUUAUCUCCUGAAUCACUGCAGGGCAUCGACUGAUGUUGUGCUGGAAAAAUAACACACUUCAGGGUAAGUCAACCAGGGAGUUUUUGUAGGUAAGAGCAAAUUAUUGCCCUGCAACUUUGAAAGAAGCCUUGACUCGAUCACCAACUGCAAGCAGUAAAUAUAGGGGUCAAUGAGUGACCUUUGGGCAUUAGGUAGAACAACUCCCUGCUCCCCACUGGUGGGACACAUUUACAGCAUUCUCACCAUCUGCUCCCACGUUUUUGAACACUUGAAUCCAUCCAGUAAUCGCAGUAAUUGUACUGAUUUUAUGCACAAAAUGGAGUUGUUGUCUAUGGGAUCCAUUCCAGGAGUUGUUUCUCGUGCGUCUCUGCCCUGCCCAGGGAUCAAAGGCCCAAAGGGAAAGGAUGAGAAGUUCCCUGAGAAUUGAGCCCCGGGGCUGCUGCCCCUGAGGAGCAGGGUAAGGGCUGUGUGUGCUCAGGGGCCACAGUUCUGUCUCUGGGGGCAAUCAGGAUGUGAGGCCUUGCUCCUUUCCUUUUGUAUCCCCUAAAUCUGUAGUUGAGGUGUUGGAUUGUGUUUGUUCAAACUGUUCCUAUUAUUCCCUGACUAAGGAGGAGUUGUGUCCUUGAGUGCCCUGCCUGUCAGCAAAACACCAGGCCCAAAGGAUCCUGGCAAGUGCAGCCCUGGAAGAGUCAGGAAGACUCAAAAAUGCCCCAGUUCUCAUGAAGCUCAACUAUGUAAAACAUUUAUGAAGCUAAAAUUCCACAGCCUUGAGCUGUUGGGUCCCAAAGAGUAGUGGAGGGAGAGGCAGAGAAUGCCCCUGCUGCUGGGGCUGAACUGUGUGCAGUGAGGGGGCAGGACUUGGCCCUGAUGCCUGAGUGCUCUCCAGCCCCCCAGGCUGGAUCCCAGCUGUCAGCCCCUGGCUCCAGCCCUUGAGAAGAUGGUGUUCCUGCCAGCCCAGCUGCUGGGCUGGUGGUCCUGGGGGCACCUCCUGCCCUGGCCUGCUGGGAAGGUGUUUGUGCUGCAGCUCAAUAAAGUCCCUUUCAGUGGUGA